GACGAACGCUGGCGGCGCGCCUAACACAUGCAAGUCGAACGAGAGAGAGGAAGCUUGCUUCCUUAAUCGAGUGGCGAACGGGUGAGUAACGCGUGAGGAACCUGCCUCAAAGAGGGGGACAACAGUUGGAAACGACUGCUAAUACCGCAUAAUAUAUACAGGUCGCAUGAUUUGUAUAUCAAAGAUUUAUCGCUGAAAGAUGGACUCGCGUCUGAUUAGCUAGUUGGCGGGGUAACGGCCCACCAAGGCGACGAUCAGUAGCCGGACUGAGAGGUUGAACGGCCACAUUGGGACUGAGAUACGGCCCAG
rnacentral:rRNA from 1 species